GGGCUCAUAGCUUAGUUGGUAGAGCGGUCAACUCAUAAUUGACUGGUCGUCGGUUCGAGUCCGGCUGGGCCCAC
rnacentral:tRNA from 1 species